GUGGAUUAGAUACCCUGGUAGUCCGCACCGUAAACGAUGAUCACUUGGUGUUGGAGGUAUUGACCCCUUCAGUGCCGAAGCUAACGCGUUAAGUGCUCCGCCUGGGAAGUACGGUCGCAAGAUUAAAACUCAAAGAAAUUGACGGGGGCCCGCACAAGCAGUGGAGCAUGUGGUUCAAUUCGAUGCAACGCGAAAAACCUUACCUGGGUUUGAAGUGCUAGUGAAUGUGGUAGAGAUAUCACAGGCCUUCGGGACACUAGUAUCAGGUGCUGCACGGCCGUCGCCAGCU
rnacentral:rRNA from 1 species